CGCUACCCGCGCCUGCGUCGGCCGCGAAGAGGCCGAAAUUAAUAUUUUUAUCCUUCCCGCAGCUGCGCCGUCCUUUCGCUCCCCUCAUGGAGCGGACAGUUUACAGUUUAAUCCUUCCGCUUGCUGCGCCCGGCGUUCACUCCCCUCAUGGAGCCGAGAGUUGACGCUUGAAUUGCUCUCCUCGCCACGCUUUGCAUUCAGUCCCCUCAUAGAGGCCAAAAUUAAUAUUUUUAUCCUUCUCGCAGCUGCGCUGUCCUUUCGCUCCCCUCAUGGAGCGGACAGUUUUACAGUUUAAUCCUUGCGCUUGCUGCGCCCGGCGUUCACUCCCCUCAUGGAGCCGAGAGUUGACGCUUGGAUCGCUCUCCUCGCCACGCUUUGCAUUCAGUCCCCUCAUAGAGGCCAAAGUUAAUAGUUCAAUCCUUCCCCCCACUAAAGUUUGCAUUUGCCCCCAUCAUGGAGUCAAAAAUUAAGUUUAAUCCUUCCCCUCAUUACACUUUGCAUUUAUUUGCAUCGUGAAGCCGAAAAUUACACUUCAAUCUUUCCUCACACCUCGCAUUCGCUUAGAGUAAUCCCUCUUCCUCCCAGUCCUCCAGAGUUUUAGCAAAAAAAAAAAAAAAAGCUGCUAGAGAAACUUUAAAUUUUUAUUGACAUAAGAUAAAUAGUAUUAGAAGCAAUAGAGAGAUACACUUGCAGAGCAGAAGGGAUGGUAAUUUUGUUCCUACUUCUGAAAUUUUACCUGGAAAACAAUGCCUUUGUGCCGUAACUAGAAGAAUCCUGUAGGCUAUGUAUAUAGAUAUAUAUAUAUACUGCCCUGACCCUGCAUGUAGUCUCUACUCAUUUUUAAUGAUUGAAAAUGAGCUCUGUAAAGUCUUCCAUGUUGAUAGAACUCAUUAUAAUUUCCCAUGAUACUUGUUGAGAAAAGCCAAAGUUGUGACAGGGGAUGCUUUUCCCAAGUGUGAAAAUGAAGCCACCAAGUCCCUCAGAGACUGAGGAGUAUCAGGAAAAGAGAAUUUGCUUUAGCUCCUGGGGGAAACACAAUGAUUUUUCAGACUCUGUGUGAUUUAUCUCUGGACAUUUCCUGGAGGAUGAGGCUUGGAUCAGAUAGUUCUCAAAAAAAAAAACCCAAAAGUGACAGAGGCUGAGUCACCGCAGCCCCAUCUGUUGCACAAACGUGGCAGCGAUGUCACAGCAAUAUGAGGAAGAGAAUUCAAGCUGUGUAAAUACUGAUGGGCGCAUAAGAAUUGCGUGACCACCUAUAGACAUUUUAGGUAUUUUGCCAGAAUCUGGGUAAUACAAGGCCUAGAAACUUCUCAUUGGCCAGGCAAAUAAAAAAGGAUCAAACAAAGUAAAAACAAGUUAACAAAAGGUUAAAACAAAAGUAAAAACCCAGAACAAAAUGAUGAUCUUUGCACCAAUGAAAGCACCUUGUAAGGCAGAUGAAUAAAUAUGAG